rnacentral:lncRNA from 1 species
GAGUCCGAGGGAGGCUCCGGAUGCCAGAGCCGCGGUCGCUGUAACCAUCGCCGCCGCGAGAGCCGUCUCUAGGAAGCCCCGGUCGCGAGGAGCUGGGAGGCGCCGCGUGCGCUGCCCCGCACCGAGCGCCCUCCUGUGCGCCACCUGAGAAAAGAAAAGAAGAGAAGAGAAGAGAAGAGAAGAGAAGAGAAGAGAAGAGAAGAGAAGAGAAGAGAAAAAAACACAACAGUUAAAAGGUAUGUUAGCUAUUGAUUGAGAGAGCCAGGCCUAAACUCACCUGUCCUGACUGGCCUGCCAUUUAGGGGCUUGGGCUAGACCAUGACACAACAGGUCUUUACCUGCAGAACUGAGCUGGAGGGCACAUUCUAACCUCUGGGAUAAUGACAUUUUGAUAAGGUUUUUUAAAAAACGAUUUCACUUUGCAAGACAAACAGCUAAUAAAAUAGAUUCUUUUUUGGUAACCACCCAUACAGCAAUCAAUCUGUCACUUGAAAACCUGGCUCCCAAGAAGUGUGAAAUGAGGCCAUGCUGGAGUUCUUUGGGAACAGAGGGCCAGAGAGACCUUCCUCUCAAGCAGACUCCAUUUGCCCUCCAAACAGAGAGAGCUCAGACUCAGAAAACAGGGAGCACAACUAGUCAGUUGCUCACCCAGUGUGGACUUUGGAAGGAUGCUGGGGGUUGGGCAGGGUGGGGGAGGGGAGCAGUGCUCUCUACAGUCAACCUGCCAACUCUUCCUCUUGUGUCUCACCCUUUUCUAUCCCAUCCCCAUUGAGUAACAACAAAAAAUGCAUUUCCCUCUCAGGGUUGAUGGAGUGAGUCACACCCCAGGGGCCUCUUCUGUGUUACAGCCAUUCAAGCAGGAACUUAAAACAAAGGGUCAUUUCAAACGCACCAGAGAAAGAUCAAUACGACAAGCCUUAGUCAUAAGAUAUAUCACCUCUGCGUCCACCUGAGGCCACCUAACUCCCUCAUUCUGUCUGUUUCUAACUCUGCCUGGAUGCCCCUAGAGUUUUUCUGCCUUUAUUAGGGGAAGUUUUGGAAAAGGAAGGCAAAGGAAAUGAAAGGGAGAAAGAAAAAGGAAAAGUGUGCUAUUACACAGAGAGCAUGGCUGAAAUCCUUCCCACUCUUUUUAGGAACAAGAUAGAAUAAAUUAUUUAGCUAGAAAGCAAGACAAACAGCUAAUAAAAUAGAAGUCUCUGGAUGUUACUGCCCUAAACUUGGAAGAAAGUCAGAUUGCUACAAAUGCAAUAAGCAGCAGCAUCUGUACACAAUAGGCAGGCCCUCGAUAAAUAUCAAUUAAUUUAGCUUCUAAGAGAUGCAAUCUGAGCCAGGUGGGGUGGCUUACACCUGUAAGGCAGGAAGACUGCCUCAGAUUUAAGGCCAACCUGAGCUAGAGAUAGACUGUCUCAACAAACAAACCCUCACAUGACCAAAAACACAGAUUCUCAAAGAUCUGAGGGAACAAAUAGAAAGAACUUGGUAACAACUU